rnacentral:rRNA from 1 species
UACGUAGGCAGCGAGCGUUGUUCGGAGUUACUGGGCGUAAAGCGUGCGUAGGCGGUGUCUUAAGUUUGUUGUGAAAUCUCCCGGCUUAACCGGGAGGGUGCGGCGAAUACUGAGAUGCUGGAGUGCCGGAGAGGUAAGCGGAAUUCCUGGUGUAGCGGUGAAAUGCGUAGAUAUCAGGAGGAACACCAGCGGUGUAGACGGCUUUCUGGACCAUUGCUGACGCUGAGACACGAAAGCGUGGGUAGCAAACAGG